rnacentral:tRNA from 1 species
GCCUUAGUAGUAUAACUAAUACACUGGUCUUGUAAACCAGAGCCGGAGACUUAAACCUCCCUAAGACA